rnacentral:rRNA from 1 species
UACGUAGGGUGCGAGCGUUGUCCGGAAUUAUUGGGCGUAAAGAGCUCGUAGGCGGUGUGUCACGUCGUUCGUGAAAACCUGCAGCUUAACUGUGGGCGUGCGGUCGAUACGGGCAUCACUGGAGUUCGGCAGGGGAGACUGGAAUUCCUGGUGUAGCGGCGAAAUGCGCAGAUAUCAGGAGGAACACCGGUGGCGAAGGCGGGUCUCUGGGCCGAUACUGACGCUGAGGAGCGAAAGCGUGGGGAGCGAACAGG